rnacentral:tRNA from 2 species
CGGAAUGUAGCGCAGUUGGUUAGCGCACCUGUCUUAUACACAGUUGGUCGUAGGUUCGAAUCCUACCAUUCCGA